rnacentral:rRNA from 1 species
AGAGUUUGAUCAUGGCUCAGGAUGAACGCUAGCUACAGGCUUAACACAUGCAAGUCGAGGGGAAACGACAUCGAAAGCUUGCUUUUGAUGGGCGUCGACCGGCGCACGGGUGAGUAACGCGUAUCCAGCCUGCCCAUCACUUGGGGAUAACCUUGCGAAAGUAAGACUAAUACCCAAUGAUAUCUCUAGAAGGCAUCUGAAAGAGAUUAAAGAUUUAUCGGUGAUGGAUGGGGAUGCGUCUGAUUAGCUUGUUGGCGGGGUAACGGCCCACCAAGCAACGAUCAGUAGGGGUUCUGAGAGGACGGUCCCCCANAUUGGAACUGAGACACGGUCCAACUCCGUACGGGAGCA